GGUCAAUGAGUACUGCGAAGGAGACAUUACAGAGACUCUGCCCUUUGGGUAGACCUCCCACCCUGUGUCGUUAUACCUUUGUUGCUUUGGCGGGCCGCGGGGCCCCGGCCCUGCCCCUGGCUCCGGCUAGGGCGCGCCCGCCAGAGGACUCCCAAACCUGAAUGUUAGUGUCGUCUGAGUACUAUAUAAUAGUUAAAACUUUCAACAACGGAUCUCUUGGUUCUGGCAUCGAUGAAGAACGCAGCGAAAUGCGAUAAGUAAUGUGAAUUGCAGAAUUCAGUGAAUCAUCGAAUCUUUGAACGCACAUUGCGCCCCUUGGUAUUCCGGGGGGCAUGCCUGUUCGAGCGUCAUUACAACCCUCAAGCUCUGCUUGGUCUUGGGCGUCACCGGUCCCCGGUGUGCCUUAAAAUCAGUGGCGGCGCCGUCUAGCUCUAAGCGUAGUACAUACUCUCGCUACAGACGCCCGGCGGAUGCUGGCCAGCAACCCCCAAUCUAUUAAGGUUGACCUCGGAUCAGGUAGGGAUACCCGCUGAACUUAAGCAUAUCAUAAGGCCGGAGGA
rnacentral:rRNA from 1 species